AGGGAAUGAGCUUCUGUUUGUCCUGGACCGCACGCACUUUCCAGCAUGCAGAUCAUCUCCGCUCGCAAGUCUUGUCGGGUCUUAUCACUUUACGUUGCCCAACUUAUCAGUGCUGCAAGCCUGCACCGCGGCAGUCACUGCGAACGCACCGGCAUCACUGGAACGGAGACAGAUCCUCUUAUCGCCGAGUGUGCUCGCCUGCACACCUCGUCUGCUCUGGUUGAAACGCUCGGUUGUAUACUAUCUGCGCAUGCCCAGAAUCAAUGCUGUCUCGAACGUAUGAUGGUAGAAGGCGCACCGUUAGUGCGCAGGUGGUGGUGGCGCGACGAUCGAUGCCACCAACAUGAUACGUCGUUGCUCAUUCACGCUGAUGUGUUGACCUACGUAGCACGUAGGCCUUUCGAGCCUCGCUGCACCCGGAACCUCUGCUGGUCGCAAGUCUGGAGCGCACAUUUGAUGGACGAAGUAUGCGCGUUCCCUCCGCUGUUGCCGUUCGCCAUCGGCUUCGGCGUCCCGGCCAUCUACGUGCUGACCACGAUGACUUACCGGCUACGCUACGACUUCGACGCGGUCGUGAGCAGACGGGGCGGCGUGACCAACACGUUCACAAGCAUAAGUCGAGCGACAGCGUCCUCGCCAUGGUCUGUUGGCUGGGUCCUAGCCACGGUCGUCCACCUGAUCUGCAACUUGUGGAUCAACGGUGAGUUUACGGACUACUGGGACGCCCGAGAGCACCUGCUGCCGCAUGGGCAACGGGACGCGUACCGCAGAACGGCCGAGUUCGCGCGUCACCUCCACUGGCUGAGGGCGGCUGCGCUCGUUCUCGUUUCCGCCAUGACCACUCGUCUUUCCGAGAAACUGCAUUUUACCUCUGUGACGAUAUUUCUUACCACUGACUUCUUUUAUCACCGCUACGUGGACCACUUGGAAGGGGAGCUCUUCGCACGCGUCAAGGACCCAACGGUGGCCUGCUCGAGCUUUCACCAUCGCACUGCCAACAACGUGAUGACAGCACUGAGCGCUUGCCUCCCGCUGAGCUUGGUGCUCCACCUGUUCGGCAGGGUCUCCUACGCUCAUUCGGCAUUUGGUCUCUUCGAGCUCGUCUAUGGAGCCUGUCAUGGAUGGCAUGAUUUCAUUACCAGUGUGGUAAUUACGCGGCAAGCCUACCUGGCCUGCGCCGACGACCCGGGCAUGCUCUGGCACUGCCUGCCGUCGCUGUCGUCAGCACCGACCUACGCCGGAAGCUCCACCUGGCUAACCUGGUGCUCGCGGCUGUGUUAGUGGCCUUCUGCUUGACACACACACAAUUGUCACGUGGGCAUCGCGACCUCACCGUAGUGCCAUCAAACCCUCAACAAGCGCGAUGCGUGUGUACUGCUCCGGUUAGGUACCACACAAGCUCUGGCCCUUCGAAUCGAGUACAUGAAGUGCUGAUGGCUGCUGAUAGAAUCCGACAAACUGGUAUUCUGCGCAAGCGGACGACUCUCAAGGUAAUCCAGAAACUCAUGUUUGUCAAAAUUGGCAACGAACAGCAGCUGGUCAGAGUUCUAGGCGCCUUGAAGGAGAACCGCUCCUUGAAAUCGUUCAUCAUGUAUGCAGAAUUAUUGACACCGGAGAUAGCGACGUCCCUGUCAGAUUUGCUGGUUGUCAACGGCACCCUGAACGAGGUCUCCGUCUGCGAAUAUUGGGCAAUCACCGCCGACAUUGUGGCAACUAUCCUGCGAGGCCUGAUAAAAAAACUACACCUUGACGCACCUCAUGGUUUCCUGGGACCCUGACGAUGACGUCGAGGGUGUCCUCGACAUGGCAGAGCUCGUGAAGAGGAACGUUCGUCCCCACGAGAAAGCGGCCGAGUUCGUCAGCGCAGGGAGCCACCGCGAGGGCGACGUUGAAGGAGCGGACGCGCUGAAGAAAGUGCGUUGUAGCGCGAACCUGGUCGAAAGGGUGCAGAGGCUCACUGGAAAGACGAGCGAUGCUUCGACGGAUCUGAUACACGCAGUCUUGACUCGUUUGUCUGCGUAAGGGGCGGUUUCUUGCGAAGCCCGAGUGUUUUAGCCGAUCGAUUGUCCAUCGUUAUACACGUGUGUGUGCUUGGCAGGUAUACAGCUCAAUAUAGCUUAUAUCUGCGGUGAUUGAACGAAGGCCAGCGUAAUCAGCGUGACCAUGGCAUGAAGAUCGUUUGGUUCCUAAUGUGCUGAUACUUCCCAUUGUUUUAAUAAAGGUGACAUGAGCCGUGUUGGUUUGAAGCA
rnacentral:misc_RNA from 1 species